GGGGGUAUACAUUAGCGGUAGAUUGCUUGCUUUGCAUGCGAGAUGCCGUGGGUUCGAACCUCACUGCCUCGA